CUGUAAGGUGUUACCUGCCUUGUUACAAAGACCUCAGUGAACAAAUGACUCCUGCCUUCCACCACCUCUGGGGAGGAGCAGGGGCACCCGAAGGGUUGGGUUUGCCCUCGGCACUGUGGGCUUUCCUUUGCCCUUGGGCUGGCAGCCUGCCUGUACAGAUGUAGAGAUCAGAAAGACCAAUAGUCAAAUCUGCUGCUUUUGAUGGGGGCUCAAAAGGCUGAACAGGUGUCUCUGAGCGAAACACUCCUUCUCUGAGGGGUUUCAUCUCUGUGCCCUGACCAGUGCCUCUGCUUCUGCCAGUUCCAGUUCUGAGAGAGCUAAACCUGGAUUUGGUAGUGUAUUCAACCCACAAACUUCCCCAAGUCUGGAAGUCAUGGAAUCAGAUAGACUCUCAGAGCCACCUGAUAUUUUUGACCAGCGGGAAACAAAGGCCCACUGAUUGACUCCAGGGAUAGAUGCAAGCAGCCCCCACUGUGCUCAUGCAGCGGCUUCACAAAGACUCAAAACAAGAGCUGUGGCAAAUUGGCUCAUCCGGCAAGUUUUGACUGGCCCAUGGUGUACAAGUAGUAAAUUGAGAACUGAUAUUUCUGAGAAUUAUUUAUUAGCAAAGCCCAGUGUCUCACUCCCCUUGUAGUUAUUCUUUGCAAACAGCUUUUUACCAGUUUGGAUGAGCAAACUACAGCACGUCAUCGUUUUUCUUUUCUUCGGGUAAUUAUUAAAAGACAGCCGAGGUCUGUUCAGACUGGCAGCAGACUGCAUCUGUACCCAGCUGGGCUGAUACCUUAACAGUUAGGCAUUAUGUGUUUAAUUGUAUAAAAAGAUAAUGGGAUGCAUUUGCAGGAAUUUAUUGCAAUGCAAACAAUAAAAGAUUGUUAUUUUGAGAUUCAUUUCUGGUGCUUUUUUGUGUUGUUAAAAUUCUAAAUA